rnacentral:rRNA from 1 species
CAGGGGUAGCAAUACCCGCUGGCGACCGGCAAACGGGUGCGGAACACGUACGCAACCUUCCUUCAAGCGGGGCAUAGCCCGGAGAAAUCCGGAUUAAUACCCCAUAGGAUUGUGGAUCGGCAUCGAUCAGCAAUUAAAGAUUUAUCACUUGGAGAUGGGCGUGCGUCUGAUUAGGUAGUUGGUGAGGUAACGGCUCACCAAGCCGACGAUCAGUAACUGGCGUGAGAGCGCGACCAGUCACACGGGCACUGAGACACGGGCCCGACUCCUACGGGAGGCAGCAGUAAGGAAUAUUGGUCAAUGGACGCAAGUCUGAACCAGCCAUGCCGCGUGGAGGAUGAAGGUCCUCUGGAUUGUAAACUUCUUUUAUCUGGGAAGAAAUGUCUUUUUUCUAAAGGACUUGACGGUACCAGAUGAAUAAGCACCGGCUAACUCCGUGCCAG